CCACUUGAUGAUCCUAGCAUUUCUUUCGAUGGCAGAGAUGCCGUAGGGCACCCGGUCAUUGGCACUGUCAUCGUUUCUAAGGUCACUGUUACUGUCCUGAGACUGUUCGCAGUCCGAGCUGAUCAUGCUUGCGCUGCGGAAGUUGAGGGAGAUGAUGUCGGAAUUAGCCCUUGCAAAGUUCUCCAUGCCCAGGUUCUCCAGCUCCUCGGGGUCCAGUCCGCAGUAGUUGAAGAAGCGCUCCACGUCGGCGUCCACGCGGAAGUACCUGUCGCUCAGGUCCGACUUGGAGCGCUGCAGCGAGGGCCUCCGGCUGACCCCGCAGGCGGGCUCGGCGGGCUCGGCGGCCUCGGGGGACUUGGCGGCCGCCACGGCCACGGCCGCGGCCUUGGGCUUGGGCUUGGGCGGCAGGGGCGGCGCGGAGCUGCUGCAGGGGAUGGCGCGCAGGGGCUUGGCGCUGGUCGCCCUGCGCACGUCCGAGGAGCUGUGCGAGACGUGCAGGAAGGAGUCGGCCGCCGGCUCCGGCAGCCGCCUGCCCGCGUGGGAGCCGCCCUCGUGCGGGCUGCCGCGGCCCUGCGUGGGGAACACCUUGAGCGACUCGGCGAACGAGUGCCGGUGCGGGUCGGGCGCGUCGGGCCGGGGCGGCGGCCGGUUGCGCGCGCCCAGCUUGUGCGCCGAGCCCGGGCUGGAGCCCUCGGAGCUGUUGAGGAUGUUUUUCAGGAUCUCGAGCUUCAGGUUCUCGCGCUGCACGCCGCCCUCGGUCUUGGCGUGGCCGCCCAACACCCGCAGCGUGGGGCUGCCCAGGGCGCGCUUGGCGGCGGGGCACACGGGGGGCUUGGCCAGCACGGCCGGCUUCACGGGCUCCUGCUUGGCGUUGAUGACCUCCUGGCUCUUGACGUACUUGGCCUUGUCCGCUUCCAGCCUCUCCACGGCGCUCAGCCUCUUGGGGUUGGGCUCGGCCUGCCGGCGAAAGUAGUCGGGCCCCUUGUUGAGGAUGCGCAGGGGGACGGCCGAGGUGAAGGUGCCCGCGGGGCUGACCGGCUUCACCAUGCUACCUGUCUGCAGGGUCUCGGUGGGCAUGGCGGGCGGUCUCUCCCCGGCGGCCGUGUUGGAUUCCGGUGCGCGCGCCUCCGGAUGCGCCGAGCUGACACAUGUACGCGAAGCACAAAGGGCAGCGGCCGGCGCCGGGGACCGGGGUGUCAGCAGGCGCCGCCGCGGCGCCGCCGCAUCUCACGGCUCGCCCGCCGCCGCCAACGCCGCCGCCAACGCCGCGAUCCACUCCCCCCCUCCCGAAGGCCACGAGCCACGAGCUCCCUGAACCGGCGCCGCUGCCUCCUUUCUUCUCCCCGAAGGAUGUGGGAGUCUCCUCCAGGUCUUUGUGUUCGGCUGCAGGCAGAGCUGAAACACACAACAACCAACCGCGGGUUAGGACGGGCGAGUGACAUCACGGCUGUAGCAACGGAGCCACCCGCGGCGCCCCCGCCCCCGCCCCCGCCCCCGCCGGCCCCGCCGCUCCCGCUCCCGCCGCCGCUCCCGCCGCUCCCGCUCCCGGGGCCCCGCAGCCCGGGCGGCCGCUGGGGGCGCGGGGGCGGGGGGGGCGGGCUGUCCCCCGCGGGGGCCCUUGCCGCCGCCUCCCCGUGGCUGGGAUCCGCCCCCGAGCACGCCCGGCUGGCUUUCCCAGCACCAAACCCAGGCAAUCCUGCAUGA
rnacentral:lncRNA from 1 species